UUGAGUCCCCGCCUCCAGCUUUACCUCAAAACGCCCCAAAUCCUCCAGACCCCAAAACACCCCCAUUUUGCUCUCCUGCAUCCCAAAUCCCAUCCAGCCACCCACCAGAAGCCCCCCUGUAGCCCACCCAGAAGCAGCCCCAACUCCUCGCCUUGGCUCCCCCCACUCUGGGACCCCCAAAAUUUUGGGGGGCUUCUUGUUAUAGGGUCUGGGAGCCCCCUCUUUCUCCAAAGGCUUCACCCUGUUGUAGGCUGAGGUCUGAGGAUCCUGCACGUGGGUGCUGUGGGGACGAAGCCGUAGCAGCAGCCUCCGUUUUGGGGUACAAGCCCACAUCGAUGCUCACUCCACUCAUCCUCAGCGUGGCCGUGCUUCAUCUCCAGCCCACGGGGGACAGGAAAAUUGGGUGCCCUCAGAUCCUGGGAAGGGGAAACCCAGGAGGAGAAGGAGGAUGAGGAGGAGGAGGAAGAGCAGCAGCGGAGAGCAGAGGCCUGGGAGCAGCCACCAGCAGCCCGGCGGCCCCCACAGGCAAGCAGAAGGCCCCGGUAAAGAAGAGUGUGAAACCAGCCGAACACGAGUCCUUUCACUUCAUCUGACCUCAAAAGCCACCGCGGAGCAGCAGGACGCCGGCGAGCGGCCACCCUCACCUCCCAGCCGAACCCAGCUGGACUCGGAAAUCACCACUUGAAGCAAGAGCAGCAGAAAAAUCAUUCACAUUCUCGUAUCUAGAGGGAAAAGGUGGUGGGAGAUAGCGCUGGCUCUGUCCCCACGCGGCUGCAGGUUGGAGGCCAGACCCUAAACCCGGACACGAAGAUGACCUGCAGCGGUCGGAGCCGGGCGUCGAAGGGUUUGGGGCACAGGGAAAGGACGAGCAGCCCCGAGCUCCUCUCCUCUCCGGCCCCUCGUGCCUCUGAACGUCCCUCGUUGGCUUCUUCCCUGCUGCAUUUCGCCCAGGUCCCCGUCCAAAACCUCGCAGCUUCCUCGCGGGCACCCCCUCUGCGUUAAAUAAAGCACAGCCCGAGCACACGCAACAAAGAAAUGCUCUGCCACUUGCUCUUUUUUUUUGCAAUUUUUAUGUAGAUAUUUAACCCUACACCUUUAUCAAACAUAUAGGUAAUGAAUUCUACCAACUAAAAA